rnacentral:rRNA from 1 species
UUUAAUGAGAGUUUGAUCCUGGCUCAGGACGAACGCUGGCGGCGUGCCUAAUACAUGCAAGUGGAACGCAAUCAAAUCACCGGAGCUUGCUCCACCGAUUAGAUUGAGUCGCGAACGGGUGAGUAACGCGUAGGUAACCUGCCUGGUAGCGGGGGAUAACUAUUGGAAACGAUAGCUAAUACCGCAUAAUAGUUGAUAACCCAUGUUAUUAAUUUGAAAGAAGCAAUUGCUUCACUACCAGAUGGACCUGCGUUGUAUUAGCUAGUUGGUGAGGUAACAGCUCACCAAGGCAUCGAUACAUAGCCGACCUGAGAGGGUGAUCGGCCACACUGGGACUGAGACACGGCCCAGACUCCUACGGGAGGCAGCAGUAGGGAAUCUUCGGCAAUGGGGGGAACCCUGACCGAGCAACGCCGCGUGAGUGAAGAAGGUUUUCGGAUCGUAAAGCUCUGUUGUAAGAGAAGAACGUUAGUAAGAGUGGAAAAUUUACUAAGUGACGGUAACUUACCAGAAAGGGACGGCUAACUACGUGCCAGCAGCCGCGGUAAUACGUAGGUCCCGAGCGUUGUCCGGAUUUAUUGGGCGUAAAGCGAGCGCAGGCGGUUUCGUAAGUCUGAAGUAAAAGGCUGUGGCUUAACCAUAGUAUGCUUUGGAAACUGCGGAACUUGAGUGCAGAAGGGGAGAGUGGAAUUCCAUGUGUAGCGGUGAAAUGCGUAGAUAUAUGGAGGAACACCGGUGGCGAAAGCGGCUCUCUGGUCUGUAACUGACGCUGAGGCUCGAAAGCGUGGGUAGCGAACAGGAUUAGAUACCCUGGUAGUCCACGCCGUAAACGAUGAGUGCUAGGUGUUGGGUCCUUUCCGGGACUCAGUGCCGCAGCUAACGCAUUAAGCACUCCGCCUGGGGAGUACGACCGCAAGGUUGAAACUCAAAGGAAUUGACGGGGGCCCGCACAAGCGGUGGAGCAUGUGGUUUAAUUCGAAGCAACGCGAAGAACCUUACCAGGUCUUGACAUCC